CCGAGUGAGGGCCCCCGGCCCGACCUCCAACCCUCUGUUAUCGAAAAUCGAGUUGCCUCGGGGGCGACCCGGCCUUCGGGCGUCGGGGCCCCCGGUGGAUCAUUAUUCAAACUCUGCAUCCAUGCGUCGGAUUCUUACAGAGAAAAUGAAUCA
rnacentral:misc_RNA from 1 species